rnacentral:rRNA from 1 species
UGGUUGUCGUCAGCUUGUGUCGUGAGAUGUUGGGUCAAGUCCCGCAACGAGCGCAACCCUUGUUCUUAGUAGCCAGCACGAAAGGUGGGCACUCUAAGAAGACCGCCGGGGAUAACCCGGAGGAAGAUGGGGAUGACGUCAAAUCAUCAUGCCCCUUAUGGCCUGGGCUACACACGUGCUACAAUGGUCUGUACAGAGGGAAGCGAAGCAGCGAUGUGGAGCGAAUCCCAGAAAACAGAUCUCAGUUCGGAUUGUAGGCUGCAACUCGCCUACAUGAAGCUGGAAUCGCUAGUAAUCGCAGGUCAGCAUACUGCGGUGAAUACGUUCCCGGGCCUUGUACACACCGCCCGUCACACCACGAAAGUUUGCAACACCCGAAGCCGGUGGCCUAACCCGCAAGGGAGGGAGCCGUCGAAGGUGGGGCAGAUGAUUGGGGUGAAGUCGUAACAAGGUAGCCGUAUCGGAAGGUGCGGCUGGAUCACCUCCUU